GACGAACGCUGGCGGCGUGCUUAACACAUGCAAGUCGAACGCUGAAGCUCAGCUUUUGUUGGGUGGAUGAGUGGCGAACGGGUGAGUAACACGUGAGUAACCUGCCCCCUUCUUUGGGAUAACGCCCGGAAACGGGUGCUAAUACUGGAUAUUCACUGGUCUUCGCAUGGGGGUUGGUGGAAAGGGUUUUUCUGGUGGGGGAUGGGCUCGCGGCCUAUCAGCUUGUUGGUGGGGUGAUGGCCUACCAAGGCUUUGACGGGUAGCCGGCCUGAGAGGGUGACCGGUCACAUUGGGACUGAGAUACGGCCCAGACUCCUACGGGAGGCAGCAGUGGGGAAUAUUGCACAAUGGGCGCAAGCCUGAUGCAGCGACGCCGCGUGAGGGAUGGUGGCCUCCGGGUUGUGAACCUCUUUCGCUCAUGGUCAAGCCGCAACAAUGGUUGUGGUGAGGGUAGUGGGUAAAGAAGCGCCGGCUAACUACGUG
rnacentral:rRNA from 1 species